rnacentral:rRNA from 1 species
UACGUAGGGUGCGAGCGUUAAUCGGAAUUACUGGGCGUAAAGCGUGCGCAGGCGGUUAUGCAAGACAGAUGUGAAAUCCCCGGGCUCAACCUGGGAACUGCAUCUGUGACUGCAUGGCUGGAGUGCGGCAGAGGGGGAUGGAAUUCCGCGUGUAGCAGUGAAAUGCGUAGAUAUGCGGAGGAACACCGAUGGCGAAGGCAAUCCCCUGGGCCUGCACUGACGCUCAUGCACGAAAGCGUGGGGAGCAAACAGG